GUGGUAGACAGAUAUUCCUUGAUUAGUACAUUAGUACUAAAACUUUCAUUACACAGAGAUUAAUAUCAAUUAAAUUAUUAUCUCCUGCUUGAAAUAACAUUUGUAUGAAAUACUAAUGACCAGCUAUAAAUCCAUUUCUCCCAGAAAGUCGGAAGUCUGUUUAUUUUUUAAAAACAAUACAGUCACUGGAGUGUGUUAUACAGAACAAUCCUUAUAAUCAUGACAGGAUCAAGCC
rnacentral:lncRNA from 1 species